rnacentral:tRNA from 1 species
AUUUAUAUAGUAUAUAAGUAUAUUUAACUUCCAAUUAAAAGGAUUAAUCUAAUUUAAUAUAAAUA